rnacentral:lncRNA from 1 species
AGUAUCCUAAUCCUAAAGGGUUCCAAUAUUUCAAGUGCCAAGGUUGGGGACAUAAAGCCAACGAAUGUCCAAACCGGCGCAAUGUGAUCCUAAGGGAAGGGAGAUUGUAUUACCUUGGUGAGAAAGUGGGUCUUGAAAAAGAAGAGAAUGAGGCCGAGCCUCAAGAUAGCGAGAAACUCGAAAAUGAGCCAUAUGAUGAUGAUGAUUGUGAGGAUGCUUAUCCGCAAGAAGGGGAGUGCAUGGUUCCAAACUUUGUAGUGAGGCGUACCAUGAUUAGUAAGGUGAUAGAUAACCCUAGACAACGGGAGAAUUUAUUCCAUACUAAAUGUCUUGUGAAGGAAAGUAUGUGUACUAUAGUGAUAGAUAGUGGAAGUUGUGCGAAUGUGGUUAGUGUUGCAAUGGUGAACUUCUUGAAAUUGUCGAAUAUACCUCACACUAGUCCUUACAAGUUGCAUGCCCAAAAACAAGGACCAACCCGCCACUACAAGGUUGUUCGAGCCUAAAAAAGUCCAUAAAUUUCCUCCCGGGCAAGAAGCUCACAAGUAUCCUAAUCCUAAAGGGUUCCAAUAUUUCAAGUGCCAAGGUUGGGGACAUAAAGCCAACGAAUGUCCAAACCGGCGCAAUGUGAUCCUAAGGGAAGGGAGAUUGUAUUACCUUGGUGAGGAAGUGGGUCUUGAAAAAGAAGAGAAUGAGGCCGAGCCUCAAGAUAGAGAGAAACCCAAAAAUGAGCCACAUGAUGAUGAUGAUUGUGAGGAUGCUUAUCCGCAAGAAGGGGAGUGCAUGGUUCCAAACUUUGUAGUGAGGCGUACCAUGAUUAGUAAGG